CAGUGUCAGUAGAUGGUCCCAUGUCCUCUACUGGCGGGCCUCCUGACACGGGUUCUAUUCCACCCACCACCACCA
rnacentral:sRNA from 1 species